GUCUGACGGAGCACGCCGCGUGAGUGAUGAAGGCUUUCGGGUCGUAAAACUCUGUUGUUAGGGAAGAACAAGUGCUAGUUGAAUAAGCUGGCACCUUGACGGUACCUAACCAGAAAGCCACGGCUAACUACGUGCCAGCAGCCGCGGUAAUACGUAGGUGGCAAGCGUUAUCCGGAAUUAUUGGGCGUAAAGCGCGCGCAGGUGGUUUCUUAAGUCUGAUGUGAAAGCCCACGGCUCAACCGUGGAGGGUCAUUGGAAACUGGGAGACUUGAGUGCAGAAGAGGAAAGUGGAAUUCCAUGUGUAGCGGUGAAAUGCGUAGAGAUAUGGAGGAACACCAGUGGCGAAGGCGACUUUCUGGUCUGUAACUGACACUGAGGCGCGAAAGCGUGGGGAGCAAACAGGAUUAGAUACCCUGGUAGUCCACGCCGUAAACGAUGAGUGCUAAGUGUUAGAGGGUUUCCGCCCUUUAGUGCUGAAGUUAACGCAUUAAGUACUCCGCCUGGGGAGUACGGCCGCAAGGCUGAAACUCAAAGGAAUUGACGGGGGCCUGCACAAGUGGUGGAGCAUGUGGUUCAAUUCGAAGCAGCGCGAAGAACCUUAUCUGGACUUGUCUCCUCUGAAAACCAAGACAUAGGGGUUUCUCCUUCGCGAG
rnacentral:rRNA from 1 species